rnacentral:misc_RNA from 1 species
GCAAGAUUACAAUCGCAGUUAAGCAGGAGGCUGUGAAAAUCACUUCAUCCAGAUGACUUCUUAGCCCUUUAUAAUUGUAAUUACCUUGUUGCAGUGCUCUUUCUGGUUGACAUCUGGUGGGCAGCUCUUCUGCUAGUAAUAAUCUGAUCUUCAUUAUUCUUGCCAUGAUUCUGGACACACAUUUGAGUGAUAAAAAAUGAACUGGGUUA